rnacentral:piRNA from 1 species
UGAUAAUGGACCAGCUUAUACGUCC